rnacentral:lncRNA from 1 species
UCGUGGAUAAAACCGUGCGUACCAGGGAUGGAAAUCCAGAACUAGAAGGCCGAAAAGAUCAUCACUGUCACUCUGCGUGAAGAGUAAUAUUUCUGUUUUUCAAUACUGUUUGCAUGAAAGCCAUACGUUUUGCCCGAAACGUAAUGGUCCAUUGUAAGGGCCACCUCAUGUGUUUCAUUUUGCAUUGAUUGCAUCAUUAAUAAAAGGAUGUUUUUCACUAAAAGCGGUGUUCCCUGUUUUUCACUUAUUUUUGCAGUU